rnacentral:sRNA from 1 species
AUACAGGGCUGGCUCUGCCCCGGCGAACGCUCCCUCCGCCGCAAAGAUGCCCCCUUCCGCUGGAAAGCGGUCAUAAAAGCCACCUGGGGUAUCAUUUAUCAACCUCUCUCCAGCCCACUCUUCCAAAAUAAUACUACAGUUUCCUACAUGUGUAUUUUUGCCAGGACUCCAAAGAGCCUUGCUAAAGUGGAACAAGCGAAAUCCUCCCCUGGCCUCCUGGGACUGCAGUUACCAGGCUGUCAAAGCCUCAAUACCCCACUGAGUUCCAGAGAAGGGUCUCAAAGCUGGGAGAGGAUCAAACUAACAUGGAGUAGAGAAUUGAACUGUGAAAAAGAAGCCCGAGAUCCCCCAGCGAAAUAGUGUUGCAGCCCCGUUG